rnacentral:lncRNA from 1 species
CAGAUCGACCGCAGCAACCAGCAGGAAUCGGUCAUGGCCGUGGUAGGCCUCCAAUUCUCCCUGCCUUUUCCUCCUUGAUUUCCUCCUUAAAAACCUCUAUAUCCGCCACCGGGCGCGGCCGUGGGAAUCUGCCUUCCGCCGUAGAAUCUGGCGUUGGCCGUGGAAAGCUGGAUAAGCCAGUUGCUGCUCCAACAAAUCAAGAAGAUGAAGAGAACCGUCAUAUCCGUUUUCGUCCAACGGUAGAACCCGGCGUUGGUCGUGGAAAACCGGAUAAGCCGGUUGCUGCUUCAACAAAUCAAGAAGAUGAAGAGAAUCGUCAUAUCCGUUUUCGUCCCACGGUAGAACCCGGCGUUGGUCGUGGAAAAACGGAUAAGCCGGUUGCUGCUUCUACACAGCAAAUAAAGGAAGAGAACCGUCAUAUCGGAGCUCGUUCCACGCCCAGGCCUAG